rnacentral:lncRNA from 10 species
GAACAGAUUAACAGCAUUUUCAGUCAGGCAAGGACUCAAAACUUCACCUCCUAAGACAUCCUAAAGGAUGGCUAAAAUAAAAUAAAGGAGAUGAAAAAGAAGGAAUACACGGAUGUAGGAGGCAAGAAAUCUAAGACCAUGGAAGAACAGUUGUGCAAAGGCCUCGAGAGCAACCAGCCCAGACUGAAUCAGGAAUGAAGGCUCUAGGAGGGAGAUGCUGGAACGGGGUGUUUACAAUAAGCAUAUUGACAACUUUGCCUGGAAGCCUGGAAAAAUCUGGACAGAACUUCAACAUAGAUGAUGAGAAGC